rnacentral:rRNA from 1 species
AAAUUGAAGAGUUUGAUCAUGGCUCAGAUUGAACGCUGGCGGCAGGCCUAACACAUGCAAGUCGAACGGUAACAGGAAGCAGCUUGCUGCUUUGCUGACGAGUGGCGGACGGGUGAGUAAUGUCUGGGAAACUGCCUGAUGGAGGGGGAUAACUACUGGAAACGGUGGCUAAUACCGCAUAACGUCGCAAGACCAAAGAGGGGGACCUUCGGGCCUCUUGCCAUCAGAUGUGCCCAGAUGGGAUUAGCUUGUUGGUGAGGUAACGGCUCACCAAGGCGACGAUCCCUAGCUGGUCUGAGAGGAUGACCAGCCACACUGGAACUGAGACACGGUCCAGACUCCUACGGGAGGCAGCAGUGGGGAAUAUUGCACAAUGGGCGCAAGCCUGAUGCAGCCAUGCCGCGUGUAUGAAGAAGGCCUUCGGGUUGUAAAGUACUUUCAGCGGGGAGGAAGGUGUUGUGGUUAAUAACCGCAGCAAUUGACGUUACCCGCAGAAGAAGCACCGGCUAACUCCGUGCCAGCAGCCGCGGUAAUACGGAGGGUGCAAGCGUUAAUCGGAAUUACUGGGCGUAAAGCGCACGCAGGCGGUCUGUCAAGUCGGAUGUGAAAUCCCCGGGCUCAACCUGGGAACUGCAUUCGAAACUGGCAGGCUUGAGUCUUGUAGAGGGGGG